GUAACAGGUAUGUGCUUGCACAUCGCUGUACGAGUGGCGGACGGGUGAGUAAUGCUUGGGAACUUGCCUUUGCGAGGGGGAUAACAGUUGGAAACGACUGCUAAUACCGCAUAAUGUCUUCGGACCAAACGGGGCUUAGGCUCCGGCGCAAAGAGAGGCCCAAGUGAGAUUAGCUAGUUGGUAAGGUAAUGGCUUACCAAGGCGACGAUCUCUAGCUGUUCUGAGAGGAAGAUCAGCCACACUGGGACUGAGACACGGCCCAGACUCCUACGGGAGGCAGCAGUGGGGAAUAUUGCACAAUGGGGGAAACCCUGAUGCAGCCAUGCCGCGUGUGUGAAGAAGGCCUUCGGGUUGUAAAGCACUUUCAGUUGUGAGGAAAAGUUAGUAGUUAAUACCUGCUAGCCGUGACGUUAACAACAGAAGAAGCACCGGCUAACUCCGUGCCAGCAGCCGCGGUAAUACGGAGGGUGCGAGCGUUAAUCGGAAUUACUGGGCGUAAAGCGCACGCAGGCGGUUUGUUAAGCUAGAUGUGAAAGCCCCGGGCUCAACCUGGGAUGGUCAUUUAGAACUGGCAGACUAGAGUCUUGAGAGGGGAGUGGAAUUCCAGGUGUAGCGGUGAAAUGCGUAGAU
rnacentral:rRNA from 1 species